CCUGCCUCAAAGAGGGGGACAACAGUUGGAAACGACUGCUAAUACCGCAUAAGCCCACGGGUCGGCAUCGACCAGGGGGAAAAGGAGCAAUCCGCUUUGAGAUGGCCUCGCGUCCGAUUAGCUAGUUGGUGAGGUAACGGCCCACCAAGGCAACGAUCGGUAGCCGGACUGAGAGGUUGAACGGCCACAUUGGGACUGAGACACGGCCCAGACUCCUACGGGAGGCAGCAGUGGGGAAUAUUGCACAAUGGGGGAAACCCUGAUGCAGCGACGCCGCGUGGAGGAAGAAGGUCUUCGGAUUGUAAACUCCUGUUGUUGAGGAAGAUAAUGACGGUACUCAACAAGGAAGUGACGGCUAACUACGUGCCAGCAGCCGCGGUAAAACGUAGGUCACAAGCGUUGUCCGGAAUUACUGGGUGUAAAGGGAGCGCAGGCGGGAAGACAAGUUGGAAGUGAAAUCCAUGGGCUCAACCCAUGAACUGCUUUCAAAACUGUUUUUCUUGAGUAGUGCAGAGGUAGGCGGAAUUCCCGGUGUAGCGGUGGAAUGCGUAGAUAUCGGGAGGAACACCAGUGGCGAAGGCGGCCUACUGGGCACCAACUGACGCUGAGGCUCGAAAGUGUGGGUAGCAAACAGGAUUAGAUACCCUGGUAGUCCACACCGUAAACGAUGAUUACUAGGUGUUGGAGGAUUGACCCCUUCAGUGCCGCAG
rnacentral:rRNA from 1 species